AGCGAACGCUGGCGGCAGGCCUAACACAUGCAAGUCGAACGAAGUCUUCGGACUUAGUGGCGGACGGGUGAGUAACACGUGGGAACGUGCCUUUAGGUUCGGAAUAACGCAGGGAAACUUGUGCUAAUACCGAAUGUGCCCUUCGGGGGAAAGAUUUAUCGCCUUUAGAGCGGCCCGCGUCUGAUUAGCUAGUUGGUGAGGUAAAGGCUCACCAAGGCUACGAUCAGUAGCUGGUCUGAGAGGAUGACCAGCCACAUUGGGACUGAGACACGGCCCAAACUCCUACGGGAGGCAGCAGUGGGGAAUCUUGCGCAAUGGGCGAAAGCCUGACGCAGCCAUGCCGCGUGGAUGAUGGAGGUCUUAGGAUUGUAAAAUCCUUUCACCGGUGAAGAUAAUGACUGUAGCCGGAGAAGAAGCCCCGGCUAACUUCGUGCCAGCAGCCGCCGUAAAAC
rnacentral:rRNA from 1 species